rnacentral:lncRNA from 1 species
UAAAAGAAAUUAUGAUAAUUUUGGCACAUAAUUAUUGGAAGGUUACCAUUCACAGCUAUGUAUUCGGCAUCUAUUAUUGGAUCUGUAACUUCAUUCAUGAAAAUAAUGGUACAUUUGCUUGUUUUUGCUCUUGGCCUUGGCUUGUUUUACUUAUGAACCUUAUGUGAUGAGGAUGAAUAUAUGUGAUAUGGCUGGCAGUGAGCAUGCACAAUCCAAGAGAAAAUUUUUCCUGAUGGGAACUGUUAUUAUUUAUUCCAGUGAAGAGAAGGCUGGGAGUUGGCUUGAGCGUCCACCAGUACAGCGGUCUCUGCAGUCUGUGUCCUGUCACUGGGGAGACAUUCCUGAGAUGGGGGGACUAUAGGAUUGGCUGAAAGGAACAUCAACACAACUAAAAAAAUAACAGAACAUGUCACAGAAAGUUAUCACAUCGACUCUUGCACACAAAUAAAGAAAUGUAACGAUACUCUGGGGGCCA